AUUGAACGCUGGCGGCAUGCUUUACACAUGCAAGUCGAACGGCAGCACGGACUUCGGUCUGGUGGCGAGUGGCGAACGGGUGAGUAAUACAUCGGAACGUGCCCAGUUGUGGGGGAUAACUACUCGAAAGAGUAGCUAAUACCGCAUGAGAACUGAGGUUGAAAGCAGGGGAUCGUAAGACCUUGCGCAACUGGAGCGGCCGAUGGCAGCUUAGGUAGUUGGUGGGAUAAAAGCUUACCAAGCCGACGAUCUGUAGCUGGUCUGAGAGGACGAUCAGCCACACUGGGACUGAGACACGGCCCAGACUCCUACGGGAGGCAGCAGUGGGGAAUUUUGGGCGAUGGGCGCAAGCCUGAUCCAGCAAUGCAGCGUGCAGGAUGAAGGCCUUCGGGUUGUAAACUGCUUUUGUACGGAACGAAAAGCCCUGGGUUAAUACCCUGGGGUCAUGACGGUACCGUAAGAAUAAGCACCGGCUAACUACGUGCCAGCCGCCGCAGUAAUAC
rnacentral:rRNA from 1 species